AUAAGCACCGGUGCUUAAGGA
rnacentral:miRNA from 1 species